ACACGACUACAUUAGAUACCCGGGUAGUCCCAGCCCUAAACGAUGCGCGUUAGGUGUAUCGGUGACCACGAGUCACCGAGGUGCCGAAGGGAAACCGUGAAACGUGCCGCCUGGGAAGUACGGUCGCAAGGCUGAAACUUAAAGGAAUUGGCGGGGAGCACCACAACGGGUGGAGCCUGCGGUUUAAUUGGACUCAACGCCGGGAAGCUUACCGGAUAAGACAGCGGAAUGAUUGCCGGGCUGAAGACCCUGCAUGACCAGCUG
rnacentral:rRNA from 1 species